rnacentral:tRNA from 1 species
GGUUCGGUGGUGUAGGGGUUAUCACGUCUGUCUUACACACAGGAGGUCCCCGGUUCGAGACCGGGUCGAACCA